AUUUGUGUUCUUUUCUCUUUUGCCUUCGACGGUGACGCCUGAGAUUCUUCACGGCUUAAACGGAUUGCGUUAUGGUUUUUAUUGUGUUUAAUCCCAUUAAUUCAUAAGCCCACCACGACGGAUCUUCAAUGCUUGGUUUGCAUCGGCAAGGCGGUGUACUUUCAGUCCUAUCUCUGCAACCUUUUUAUGCUUCUUGGAUUGGAACCAUGCCGUAGUUGUGGCUCCUUAGAAGUUCCUUGCAAAAGAACUCUCCAGUUGGCAAAUGGGUUGAGUGCAUCAUCACGCCGUGAGCUGAAUACACUAAGCAAUGCACAGAAGAUGAGCCACCAUCCGGUACAAUGAUAGGUGAAUCUGACAAUUGGUGACGUAAAGGAGUCAUGUAUGCUCUCAGUUUGGUAAAAAACCCUCACUUUAAUUUUUUUUUCCAGGACUCAUGCUCUCCAGCUAACUCAAAUCACCAUGUAGCAAACAAUCGUUUAGUUAGCUACUGCUGCGAAGAUCUGAGAUAAACAAAUUAAACAUUUAUGCGAGGGUUAAUCCUCUGUAAUGAGAUCUUCUAACAAAUCUAGGUACUUAAUUAGGUUUCUUCGUACAGACAAAUGGAAACUACACAAGAGUACUUCGAUUCAGAGUUAACAUCUAUGCAUAACUAAAUACAGGUGGGAGUUAGGGAGAGUUUGGCAGAUUCAAUUUUUUUGAAGGUGUUAUUAUUUUUUUUAAGAAUAUGUGUUAUUGUUUAUUUGAAUAUAUUUGAGUGUGUCAGUUUUUAAUUAUGGAAUAUUAUGUGGCAGCGAUGUCAAAAACAACUUUCUGAGAACAAAGGAAGCACGGCAAAUGCAUAAUCAAGUUUAGUGCUUGCCUUUUUGAAUGUCAUUGAUUGUCAUGAUCAAGAGACAAUUUCUCAGUGGUAUAUCUCUGUUCCAUAGAAAUUUAUUUACUUUUUAAUUCUAGACAGAAUAAGCAUACGAGCUUUUUUUUUCAGCCUACAGGCUGUUUUAUUUUUUCAGCCUACGGGCUGUUUGUUUUGUUUUUAAUUUUUG